UACGGAGGGGGCAAGCGUUGUUCGGAUUUACUGGGCGUAAAGGGUGUGUAGGCGGCUGGACAAGUCUGGUGUGAAAUCUUCACCGCUUAACGGGAAGGGGUCACUGGAAACUGUUCAGCUUGAGUAUGGUAGAGGCAAGCGGAAUUCCUGGUGUAGCGGUGAAAUGCGCAGAUAUCAGGAAGAACACCCGUGGCGAAGGCGGUUCUCUGGGACGGUACUGACGCUGAGACGCGAAAGCGUGGGGAGCGAACAGG
rnacentral:rRNA from 1 species